AAUAUUGACUUCUAAAAUAAACAUUAUUAUAUAUGCUUUAAACUAGUAAUUCGUGUUUAAUGAAACUUUCGAGAUUUUGUCGUCGCGAUUUUGUCGGUGUUUUAAUCGCGCUAUUUUGUCGGCGAGCAUACAGUAUGUCUAUCGUGCAAAUGUCGGGUCACACUGAAUGGGACUGAUAAGACCAUCCACAUGUGAACAAAGCUGAUUAGGCCACUUUUUGUUCCAUGUACAGAGUGCCUCUAGGUCUCUUGCAUCUUUAAGUUUCAUCUCUAGCCUCUCGUAUGGUAGCUUAUCAAAGUAAAUAAUAAUAUUACAUUCACUCCUCUAAUAAAAAAAAUUGUUCAGCCCUGAAAAUGAGCUUAUUAGUGAAAUCACUACAGUCUCUCCUGUCUAAAAUGUGUUUAUUGUUUAUUGUUACAACCAUACUUAAGAUGUGUUGUUUAAUCUUUUUCUUUAAUAACUACUUUUAUUAAUGUACCUGUAAUACACUGUAAGCUUACAGAUGUGUAAUUGAUAUGAUUGGCCUAUCACCUUUUUAACAAUGAGAAAUCAUUUGUUACCUUCCAGUAUUUAGACAUUUUCCUAGUUUAAUCGAUUUCUGAAAAGUAUGUUCUAGGUUUAUAAAUGUAUUUUCACAAGUACUCAGCUGAUUUAAUUGAUUUUAGCCUUUUUAAUCCUUGUAGCACCUCUCUCUCUGCUAUUAUCAUUUCUUCAUUUCUCUUUAUUAAAUUUCACCCAUCCUGGACAAUUUUUUUUUUGCUAAAAUAUUGAGAGAACAAUCACUCACUCACUCUUUUUAAUUGUCUAAUACGUGUUAUACAGAUGCUUUUUAUUUUUUCUUUUGCAAAACUUUUCUUAGCUUUUUAUUCACCAGAUGUCUUAAUCCUAAUAUUUCUGACUUUUAGGGUAACUUGUCAUGCUUUUCAUGUAAUAUACCUUUAAACCUGCCUCUCUACCCAUGAAUCCACUUCACACUUCAAAGUUUGUCUCAGCAUGUCUCUUUUAGAUUAGAACAAGCUUGUUUAUCCUAUUCACCUAAAUAGUUCAAAAUAACAUAAUGUUAAGAUUUGAAGGUCCUACUGUUAUGUUUAUGCCAUGGUCACUAUCCUGCCUCAUGUUUAAAUUCCUUUAUGUCCUUCUUGUUUAUUUUUGAUUAGUUGGUUAUUAUGAUACUGUUAUUAUUUAUGUUAAUUAUACAAAUAAUGUAUUUUUUUAUCAGUUUUGUUCAUUGUUUGGUUUCUAUGUGUGGAUUCACCUUCUGCCAUGUCCCUUGUGUUUUGUGAGUGGUUCCCUUAAGAGGCAAGGCCACCUGUCAGUCUCCAUUGAGGGACUACACCCAGUCCCCUUACAGCUCAUGGAAUGGUACAUGGUGUGCACUUUGGAGUUAGAAUAAGCUGGAUAUGCACAGUGCAAGUGGAGGAAUGUACCGAGCAUGGUCUCUGUCCCCAAAGUAUUUUAAGACUGCAAUCGGCAAGAUCGUGAUUUGGAAGACGGGCAUUGCACUUCCAUAACAACCACAAUUCAUGUCUGACAACUCAAGAAAUUGCCCACACAUGAGUCCCUUGGUUUUGUUUUCACUAGAAAAUUUUAUUUUUAUACGAAAUAACAGGUAGAAGAAUGCAUAUUUAAUGCAUGAAAGCAUUUCCAGGGAAGAAUUAAACACUUUUCUUUGUUCAUCAAUUGCGCAAAAUUCACUUGUUGCAAAACAACAUCUGUUUCACAAAUUUGUUUUACAAAGUAAAAGAGUCUCACUACAAAUUCAAUUUUGUAGAAACUGCAGGCUCAUCACUAUUUAUAUGCAACUCAGGAAAAGUGGAAUGUUAGUGAUUAUUGUACUUAUUAUGAAAUUUGCUAUUCAUGUCACUACAAAUCUGAUUAUGUUUAUUAUUAUUUUUUUUUUCAUAAAAAACUGCCCAUGAUAGGCGUUAAUUUAGUCUCUUCAGAUUCUUAUUUUGUUGGUGAACAAGAUGAAAUGCCCUUCAGCUAGGGGGCCUCAGUUUGCGUCUCAGUUUUUUUCUGCACCAAGGUGGUAUGUUCAUUCUUUCUGCUCUCGAGUUAUCAUCCACAAGCAAAUAGACAGACAGAGAGUGUUAAUCAGGAAAUUGAGAAGUUCUUGUGAUGUUCUGUCAACAUACAAUAGGUUGGGAGGGUUGGAUAUCAUUGUUACCCUUAGCAGAGUUUGACAAUAAUGUGCUACAUCCCUCUGCACUAUGCGUGUCUCCUUUUGAAUUCCAGUAUGGUUUUAACCCUAAUUUUGCCAUGUCUAAGCCAGGGUUCCUUCCCUGGCUGGGGUAUACCCUGUAAAUUCAUGUUUUACGUCUCUUUAUGUUUAUGUGCAUAUUUUUUAGUUUGGUUUUGUCUAUAUAUACAGGCUACCUUUGGUAUGUGCCUGCCAAUCACUGCCAGGAGCUGAACUCCACCCUAUAAAUUUGGAGGGUCUUCCACAACUCUUGGCAGUUCCUUUUGAACAGUCUGGAGUGGCGAGUUCUUGUGUUUUUGUAUGUUUUCUUUAUGCCUUGUGAUUUUUCUGUAUUUUGACCUUGCUUUCAAAUUCUGUAUUAGGACUCUGGCCCCUGGGAUUGUACCCUUUUCGGCUUUGUGUUUUAUGGACCGUCAUUGACAUUGGAAUCUUUUUUUAGUAAAGAAUAAAUCUUUUAUUUUA